ensembl:lncRNA
UGGCGAAACAAGCUCUGAUGGCCACUAGAAUAGAAAUGGAAGUAUUAUACAGUAGAUAUGAAAUGAAGAAGCAAAUAAACAAAGAUGGCAUGUAUUGUGAAAAGUAUAAAGAUGAUAGAAAAAAAAGAGAGGAAAGAGGACAUUAAAAUUAAUUUGAGAUAUAACAAUAAUAAGUAAUAACUGAGCAGCUUUAGAUAAAUAUUUGGAGAACACAGGUUUAAUGAAUAGGAUUUGAAUUUAAUAUAUAUAUAUAUAUAUUAAGCCAGAGGAGCUGAAAACGCAGCGCUGGCUGUAGCAUAGAUUUUCAUUGAGAGGAGGAUGGGGAGGGGGGUAGUAAUUAGAGUCUCUGGAUCGAGUUCACAGUAGAUCAACCAAAAAAAAAAAAAAAUUGGUAGAUGAAGGAUCACGACCUGGUUUUAUGCCCAGGUUUACACCCCUGUUGUUCCUGAUGCGUCCAGUAGGGGGAGGCUGUACAGUAUGAGCUAUCUAUCAGAACAGAAGCGACAAGUAUAAGAGGAAAUCGCUGGAGUUAUUAUUGUUCAGCAAGCGUGCAACGUUGCAACAUUUGUAGUUAAAUGAUUAGCUAAGAGUCGAUGUCAAUUAAUUUUUAUAUGUUAAUAGAUGCAUCUAUAAAUGUACUUAUUGACGGUCAGGUAAAUGUAAGUAGAAACAUUUGCAAGUAACCUUAUGCUAUUUGUUUUCUUUGUUUGAAGAGCUCAGACUUCUGUGUGUGCUAUUUUGAUUGUUUCUCUUGCAGAUUGAAAACGCCUGCACUCGUCUAUGAAGAGGUUUGAGCACAUGUAUAAAUCUUUUUCACAUUGUUUUAUAUCAGCUGUAGUUUAUUUGAGACUUCUGAGAGAGUUUCUUCAUUUCAUAUCUGAAAGGCAAGAGAGAGUCUGCUUAAUGUUUCCUUUUGCUCUCACAGGGCAAAAACAUGUACACUUCCAACAUGCAUGUUAUUGCCACAGUCCCUGUCUACUCUCCAGUCCUGAAUCCACUCUGAAGAGAGAUCUUCUUCUGUCUCUCUGUCUAGUAAUCAGAGCACAGAGACAUCUUUAGGUCCACAGCUAAGAAACAAUUGCCACGUCCAUUAUCUGUGUCCUGGCUUUUGUGGGAAAUCUGUCCAUCCUAAAGACUGAGGAGACAUUUCUGCAAGGACCUGCCAUUUACAUAAAGUACUGUAAGGAUGCUAUAAAAUAAAACACGUCUCAGAUGACA